GUGCUCACUUCGGCAGCACAUAUACUAAAAUUGGAACGAUACAAAGAAGAUUAGCAUGGCCCCUGCACGAGGAUGACAUGCAAAUUCGUGAAGCAUUCCCUAUUUUU
rnacentral:snRNA from 1 species